UGCCCCAUGGCUGAGUUGGUUACAGCGUCCGACUGUUACAGUAGUAUAUAGAAUAUUCAAGUAAUAUCGGAAGGUCGAGAGUUCGAGCCUCUCUGGGGCAG